rnacentral:rRNA from 1 species
GACGAACGCUGGCGGCGUGCUUAACACAUGCAAGUCGAACGAUGAAGCCUAGCUUGCUAGGUGGAUUAGUGGCGAACGGGUGAGUAAUACGUGAGUGACCUACCUUUGACUCUGGGAUAAGCCUGGGAAACUGGGUCUAAUACCGGAUACGACCAAUCUCCGCAUGGGGUGUUGGUGGAAAGCGUUAUGGAGUGGUUUUAGAUGGGCUCACGGCCUAUCAGCUUGUUGGUGAGGUAAUGGCUUACCAAGGCGACGACGGGUAGCCGGCCUGAGAGGGUGACCGGGCACACUGGGACUGAGAGACGGACCAGACUCCUACGGGAGGCAGCAGUCGGGAAUAUUGCACAAUGGGCGCAAGCCUGAUGCAGCGACGUCGCGUGAGGGAUGACGGCCUUCGGGUGGUAAACCUCUGUUAGCAUCGAAGAAGCGAAAGUGACGGUAGGUGCAGAGAAAGCGCCGGCUAACUACGUG